UCCGUAGGCGGUCUUUUAAGUCAGUGGUGAAAUCCCAGAGCUCAACUCUGGAACUGCCAUUGAAACUGAAAGACUUGAAUAUGGUUGAGGUAGGCGGAAUACGUUAUGUAGCGGUGAAAUGCAUAGAUAUAACGUAGAACACCAAUUGCGAAGGCAGCUUACUAAACCAUUAUUGACGCUGAUGGACGAAAGCGUGGGAGCGAACAGGAUUAGAUACCCUGGUAGUCC
rnacentral:rRNA from 1 species